rnacentral:sRNA from 1 species
UUUCUGCUUCCCGCUUUCCAGUAGUCCCAUCCCAGCUGUUCGAAUCCACUCUUGUAGCUCCGCCCCUGCCUAGCCCCACGCCCUAUCCCAGCUUAGAGCUCCGUCCACUUUAACCCUGGGCCGGGAACCUGAACCCCUAGUAGGUCCUCGGUGCUCCAACCCCAUGGUCUGGCUGGGCUCUUCCCCAGGGCUCUGUCCCGCUCCUAGCUCCACUCGCCCUGAGCCCCAGCGAGCCUGCGGGGUGACUCGACCCUGGCCCUGCUCUCUCCUCCCGGGUCUGCAGGGAGACGCUCCUGCGGCUUCAGCUGGAGAACAAGCGGCUGUGCAGGCAGGAGGCGGCCGACCGGGAGCGGCAGGAGGAGCUGCAGCGCCACCUGGAGGAUGCCAACCGCGCGCGCCACGGGUUGGAGACGCAGCACCGGUGAGCCCCUGGGGACCUACCUGCGCAGAGCAGGGACAGAGGGGGCCAAAAGUGGGCACAGGCACUAAGCGGCCCCCACCCUCGCAGGCUGAACCAGCAGCAGCUAUCCGAGCUGCGGGCCCAGGUGGAGGACCUGCAGAAAGCCCUGCAGGAGCAGGGGGGCAAGACUGAAGAUGUGAGUGUCACCCACCACCUCCCAGCCUGGCCCUCCCUUGUGUCCCGAAGUAACCCUCCUCUCUCUCCCAUGCUGCCCGAUGCCCCAUACAGGCCAUUGUAAGUACCAUGGGCCCAGGAUGGCACCCCCCUACCCUCACCCUGGGAAGGAAGAAUUAGGGCCUCUCUGGAUCCCCCACUCACCUUGCCUCUUCUCUCUCCCAGUCCAUUUUGCUGAAAAGGAAGCUGGAGGAACAUUUGUAAGUCGCAGAAAGAGGGAACUCCUCGUGGGGGCAUGGAUUUGACAUUAGGGGGGAGUUUCUUAGGCAUGUGCCACCAUGCCUGGCUGAUUUUUUAUAUUUUUAGUAGAGACGGGGUUUCACUAUGUUGGCCAGGCUGGUCUCGGACUCCUGACCCCAGAUGAUCCACCCGCUUUGGCCUCCCAAAGUGCUGGGAUUACAGGCAUGAGCCACCGCGCCUGGCCUUCUUUCUUUUCUUUUACCUGUCUGCUAUUGAAGAGAUUUGUAUUCUAGAAAGAUCCCUGGCUGCUGGAUGGAGUGGUUGAGAGUAGAAGAAGCUAGCAAGGGAAGAUGGUGGCUGAACCAACUUGGGAGCUUUGGGAUGGGAAGAAGUGGACAGCAGAGGGCUGUUCCAGGGUAUACCUGCUAAGGGUGCGGAGGGUUGUGGCUCUGACAGCUGUGGAGCUGGUGGGACCAGGGCACACAGCCCCCAGGCAUGAGGGGCAGGCAGAGAGGGCUCUGUGGCCAUGUAGGGGCAUUUCUGGCUGGCGGGGAGGUCUGUGGCUACCACUGGGACAAAAGAGAAGCCAGCUCGGAGGUCAGCCCACUGCUGCUCAUCCCCGGCCCACAGGCAGAAGCUUCAUGAGGCAGAUCUGGAGUUGCAGAGGAAGCGGGAGUACAUUGAGGAGCUGGAGCCACCCACUGAUAGCAGCACAGCCCGGCGGAUCGAGGAGCUGCAGCAUAACUUGCAGAAGAAGGACGCGGACUUGCGGGCCAUGGAAGAGCGAUACCGCCGCUACGUGGACAAGGCCCGCAUGGUGAGGACGCUGGGUGUUCCCAGAAGUUGCCUGCCCUGGCUUCUUACUUUUUGUGCCUCCUAUUGAGUCAAACCUCCUGCUUGCACAUCUGUGCCCCCAACUCAUACCUGUCAUACCCCACCAUAAGACAGACUUCUGCGUGAUUCCCCACUGCUACUGAUUGUCACAUUAAAAUACUGCACAGCUGGCUGGGUGCUGUGGCUCACGGCUGUAAUCCCAGCACUUUGGGAGGUCAAGGCAGGCAGAACAUGAGGUCAGGAGUUCGAGACCAGCCUGGCCAACAUGGUGAAACCCCAUCUCUACUAAAAAUACAAAAAUUAGCUGGGCAUGGUGGUGGGUGCCUGUAAUCCCAGCUACUCAGGAGGCUGAGGCAGGAAAAUCAUUUGAACCCGGGAGGCGGAGGUUGCAGUUAGCUGAGAUUGUGCCACUGCGCUCCAGCCUACGCGACAGGGCAAGAGUCCAUCUC